rnacentral:lncRNA from 1 species
UCGUGACUAAUAUUUACAAGUAUUUCUCUACUGGUGCUUAAUGUCUGUGCUUAAUCCAAUACAUGUAUUAUCUUCUAAAAGUGAAAGUUUAAAGCAUGUACUGUACUGUGUGUGUGUGUGUGUGUGUGUGUGUGACAUGUCUGUGACGUGGUCAGGAGUCUUUGUCAGACCUUUUAGCUAAUCGUCGGUGGUUUGGUGAGAGAGAUGACUUCAGUGCUGUGCUGCUCUCCAGUCCCCUCAGCACUUAUCACACCACUGACCACAUUGCAGACCACUCUACUGACCACUCUACUGACCACACUACUGAUCAGCCCAUCCUGCAACUCUGGGCUGAGAUGCUGCAGCCAAUGAAGGAUCAGCCUGCAGUGGAUGUCGAUGGCAUCACAAGGAUUGCCUGUCCUAGGGAGGAGACGCCGUACCUGCGCACGCAACAGAACUCCCACUCAAAGGAAACAGACACAGGGUCUACACCUCAACUGGAUCCUGUGAGUUUCUUAGUUUAUUUGUACCUCCAUCAGACUAUUUCCUCACAUUAAAAUGUAAUGAAACAUCUCAUAACAUGACUUUGACUGUUUUUUGUGUUUGUGUGUGUACGUGGGUAUGUUUACGUGUGUAUGUGUGUGGAUGUCUGUGUGUUUGUGUGUGUGCGUGUUUUAAAGGUUAAUGGCAGUGAGCUCCCUUGUGUGAACCGUACCCCUUCUGCUUCACCCCCUAGCUCAGGUAAGUAGCCUGCAGCCAGGAGAGCCCAGUGGAGUCAGGCACAGGUUAUUUCAUCUAAUACUUACAUUAUUCAUGUGCUCACUCAUACUCACUCACACACACAUCACUCUCCGUCUCUUCAAAGUUCAUGCACUGCGUCCAGCUGAUAUUAAAGUGGUCGCAGCCUUGGGUGACUCUCUGACAGUAAGUAUACACCUGUGUGUGUGUGUGUGUGUGUGUGUGUGAGAGAGAGUAAAGCAAAUUGCCUCUCUGAAAAUUGUGACUUCUGAGACAUUGUGAUGUCACUUCCUCUCCUCUGCCCCACAGGCAGCCAAUGGUGCGGGAUCUAAACCCAACAACCUCUUAGAUGUCAUCACUGAGUACAGAGGCCUGUCAUGGAGGUGGG